GACGGGAGGGUGCUAGCGUUGUUCGGAAUCACUGGGCGUAAAGGGCGCGUAGGCGGCCUUGCAAGUCGGUUGGUGAAAGCCCGGGGCUCAACCCCGGAGGUGCGGCCGAGACUGCAGGGCUGGAGGCCGGAAGAGGAGGGUGGAAUACCCAGUGUAGAGGUGAAAUGCGCAGAUAUCAGGAGGAACACCCGUGGCGAAGGCGGCUCUCUGGGACGGUACUGACGCUGAGACGCGAAAGCGUGGGGAGCGAACAGG
rnacentral:rRNA from 1 species